ACUGCCCUAAUAUCAAUAUUUAUUUCUCAACCCUUAAGACACCCAACAACUAUAUCGGUGUUCUUAUAAAAGUCCUACAAAAGCAAUACUAAGAAAGGAUCCCAAGCGUCAAACCAUAAAGGGAUAAUUAUUGGUCCCGUAGCAAACACAAGAAGAGAGCGCGCUCUUAUUGAGGAAGCUUGUUGAUCUUACGAUGCUAGAAGUCCUUGAAGGUUUUAGUUGAAAACAAUGGUGGAUUAGUCUCGUUUAGGAG
rnacentral:lncRNA from 1 species